rnacentral:misc_RNA from 1 species
UUGUUGAUUGUCGAAAAGCGCUGUAGGCAC